AUUGAACGCUGGCGGCAGGCUUAACACAUGCAAGUCGAGCGGGGGGAAGGUAGCUUGCUACCUAACCUAGCGGCGGACGGGUGAGUAAUGCUUAGGAAUCUGCCUAUUAGUGGGGGACAACAUUUCGAAAGGGAUGCUAAUACCGCAUACGCCCUAAGGGGGAAAGCAGGGGAUCUUCGGACCUUGCGCUUAUAGAUGAGCCUAAGUGGGAGUAGCUAGUUGGUGGGGUAAAGGCCUACCAAGGCGACGAUCUGUAGCGGGUCUGAGAGGAUGAGCCGCCACACUGGGAAUGAGACACGGCCCAGACUCCUACGGGAGGCAGCAGUGGGGAAUAUUGGACAAUGGGGGGAACCCUGAUCCAGCCAUGCCGCGUGUGUGAAGAAGGCCUUUUGGUUGUAAAGCACUUUAAGCGAGGAGGAGGCUACCGAGAUUAAUACUCUUGGAUAGUGGACGUUACUCGCAGAAUAAGCACCGGCUAACUCUGUGCCAGCCGCCGCAGUAACAC
rnacentral:rRNA from 1 species